ensembl:lncRNA
CCAGACUGCAGCAUCCAGAAGCUGGCUGACAGCGGGCAGACCAGCAUGGAAAUGGACAGAGCAGGGAUCUGAAGUCCUGUUCUGGCUUCACCAUUAGUGGGUCUGUGAACUUCUGUCUACCCCUCAUCCACUGAACCAGUUUCCUUGUUUGUAAAUUCAGGCCCUCGACUCCCCUAGCAAGAGACCCUGAUGUUGACAGCUAUAAAUCCUUCUCUCAAGAGUGGCUGCCCUGCUUCAUGAGUGGCCAACAAGAAGCCUCUCAUCUCAGCAUCUGCUGGCCCCACAGUUUAGAGGGACUCUCUUGGCUUCUCUGUCUGGAACUCUCGGACCUGGGGCCACACACCUCUGCAGGCUGGCUCACCUCAAGAGAUCAUCAUUGCAGUUUGGCUGCCUCUGCUGCUGUGUGAUCGUCCUAAUAACACUGCACAAGUGAAGAUACCCAGUCUAGAAGUCCAUUGUGAUAUCUUCCAAGGACUUGCAGAAACAUUAUGUUGAGUUUUCCCUUCCUUUGUGGACACUGUCUCCUGAGAGAUGGACAAAGAGCCUCUCUCCAGGACUUCCUACCCUCAGUGGCCCUUGGCUUCCACUCAGCCGUCCAGCAAAGCCCCUAGCAUCUAGAAGGCUAGAGGCCCACAGGUGGGCCAAGAAGAUUUUCCAGCCCAUUUCUUCCAUUCCUGGAAACAUACUUCGUCGCAGUUUGCACUAAGGGUCUAUGAAUGCGGGCUUAGAUUCCCAUCGGGGAGAGGACUUGGAGCUUGAGAAGGAGCAAGAAUGAACCAUUUUCAGAGAAUCUCAACUGUGAAAGGACACCUUUCUCAUCCAUGCAGAUGCUACCCAGACCUUAUCCGUGCACCCCACUCAUGGAGAAAGAUAGAGUCAUACACCAAGAAAGGCUUCCCUGGUGGCUCAGAUGGUAAAGAAUCUGCCUGCAAUGCAGGAGAUCCAGGUUCGAUGCAUGGAUCAGGAAGAUCCCCUGGAGAAGGGAAUGGCAACCCACUCCAGAAUUCUUGCGUGGAGAAUUCCAUGGACAGAGGAGCAUGGCUGGCUACAGUCCAUGGGUUCUCAAAGAGUCGGACACGACUGAUGACUAACAUUGUAUACCAGGAAGCCUAACUGUACUGAUAAAUUGCCUAGAUGCACUAGCCAGAUUCAUGGAGCUGACAAGGCAGUUUCUUUCUUUUUCUUUUGUUCUGUUCAAUUGCUUUGCAUCUCAAUUUAUACUGAAAUAUGGGUAGAUACACCUGAGUUCCAAGAGUCCCAGUGUCCUGCUCAGGAAAUGUUGUAGAAAAACAAAACAGACACUGUAAAUAUUCUCUCCAAAGCCCAGCGCUGAGAAACAAAUUACCUGUGCAGAGAAAACUGCAAAUAGAUGCUGCUUAUCCUGUCAAUAUGCUUCCUAGACUGAUUUUUGUUUUGCAUUAUGCUUUUCAUAAAAUGCAUCCUAAAAAGAUUUUCACAAUGAAGCAUGUAAAUGUUGUAAGGACUGCAGAGAGAGGAAAAUAACAAGAGAUAGGGACAAAGAGAAAAAUCUGAACCAAAGAUUUUGGAAAGAAGGGUUAUUGGGGACAAAUAGAACAUUUAAAAGUGGGUCCUAUUUAAUUAAAUAAUCAGAGAAGUAACUCAAGACAAGUAAACUGGCUUUCUUCUCCUUUCUGGACAUUUCUCGUCUUGAAUUAUUUCUCCCCUGGGUAAGACAGCCAGGGUUUGAGUCUUGGCUCCCUCACAUGUUAUCUGUGACCUUGGGUGAUUUAUUUUACCUCCGUAAGAUUCAGCCUCAUUAUCUGUAAAAUAAAAGAUAAUUACAGGGACGUCUCUAGUGAUCCAGUGGUUAAGCCUUUGCCUUCCAAUACAGAGGGUACAGGUUCCAUCCCUGGAUGGGGUGCUAAGAUCUCACAUGCCUUGCAGCCAAAAACCAAAAC